GGGUGAUUAGCUCAGCUGGGAGAGCACCUCCCUUACAAGGAGGGGGUCGGCGGUUCGAUCCCGUAAUCACCCACCA
rnacentral:tRNA from 2 species